GGGAUGUCCCCGGCUGGUUUCAUCAUCAGAACAGCAUUUUCCAGCGGUUUCUCUAGCAGUGAGGUGGCGAGAAAGAAAGCAUAGCAGCUCAGAAUAUAAGGAGGAUUAGAAGAGUGCAUUGCCUAAGAAGGCAUCCUCGUCCUGUUUGCAGCUAUGUCAAGAGAUCCCACACAUAGAAGUUUUCUGUGCCCCACGUAUGAGCUCUUUCCCUUAUGCAAGCAAGCCAAGACAGGACUGGCGUGAGUGGGAUGGAGGUUUUGGGACCACACCUAGCUCACAGAAACUUGAUUUGGAGCCAGCUGUGGUGUACGCCAAUAAAACCUGCAAUCAGUGACAGCUUUCAUCCCAAAUGUGUCCGGGCUGACUUCCCUUUCAAAAUAAUGGAGGAUGAGACUGCAAGCAGACUCGUGCCAAAGGACUUGAAGCAAGGUACAGGGACUGCGAUUCACAACUGGUUAUUUCCUAAAACUGUUGGUUUCUGAUCACUGUUAAU
ensembl:lncRNA